rnacentral:lncRNA from 1 species
CCGAGGACAGCCAGUUUCUUCCCUUGCCGGCUGGGCCCUCCCCACCGUCUGAAUGCACGCUUUGUCUCCCUGGCAGGUGCGGUGCUCUGCUUAGCAAGGGUCAGUCUGUCCUCCCUCAGGCUGCUGCUUCCGGCCUCCGCCUCUUGGAAUACGCCCAUUUCCCUAGGUCCCCAGGGAAUCUGGUCCCAAGAGGUUGUGCCACCCCUGCGGUCCUGGAACCCUCACGCCUCUGAGUCUAUCCCUGCAUGUCCUUUGGACCAACUGCGACCUGUGGGGCACCUCUCCUACUGCCGGCCUCAUCCUGAGCCUGGGGUUGCAUCUUUUGCAGGAUCUGCCCAGCUCACAACUUCCCCUCCUGGGAGCCUCCUCCUCAAACUACCCAAAGUCAGGCGCAGUUGCCACCUUGAGAUUCCUCCUUAGACAGAGUAGACCAGAGGUGGACCUUGACCCAAGCUAGGCUGGUUAUUUUCAGGAUCAGAGACCAGCAAAUCAGGCCAGGCUCUGCCUGAUGGUGUUCAAAUAAACAGGGAGGUGAAAGGUUAUUCCAAGUAGAGCUGCCAGGUAAAAUGCAGGCCUUUUUGAAACAGUCUGGCUAAAUUGCCCAGGCUGAUCUUGUACUUGCCAUCCUCCUCCGUCAGCAUCCCGAGUUUUUCUGGGGGUAUAGGUGUGCACUACUAGGCUCUGUGCAAUCAUUGAAUUUUUAUGGGGGCAAGUAUAUCCCAAAUGCUGCCCAGGACACACUUAUACUAGAAAAUGAUUGUCAAAAGGCACAGUGGCAUAUAUGCCCAUAAUCCCAGCCAUUUGCCGGGCUGAGGCAGGAGGCUCACAAGUUCCAGGUCAGCCUGGGCAACUUGGUGAGAUCCUGUCUCAAAAUUAAAAUAAAAGAGCUGGGAAAGUAGUUCAGUUGGUAGAGCACUUGGUUAUCAUGCUCAAGGUACUAGGCUCAAUCCCCAGAACCAAUAAAUAAAUCGCCUGAGGAUGUAGCUCAGCAGGAGAGCACCCCUAGAUUUAAUCCCCAGUACCUACUAAUAAUAAUGACAAUUUAUCGAUUAUCUGAAAUUCAGUUGAGCUGAGGAGACCUCACUUUCAUUUACUAAAUGUGGCAACCCUAACCCAAGAUACCCAGAACACUUUGGGAGGCUCAAACUGGUGGAAAGAGUCCUUUUCUGGAUAUCGAAAAGGACCAGUGGCGGGAGAGAAUUGCGGUUUUCCAUGAGUCUUUUCAAUCUGUGCUCAUGACCAAGUGGCCCUAAGGCCACCAGACCCCGGGGAGCAAAGGCCCUUCGGAGCCCAGUGAUUGGAACCUGGAAGCCCUUCCCCCCCCCCCAUGAGCACGUGUGCCCCCUCCACCCACACCUGGGCCUUUCAGCCUUCCCCUUCUCGCAGGGGCACACUGUCAGGCCCUGGGGGGAAGCCGGUGGUGUCUCAAAGUCCCGUGCAUGACUCCCGCCCAGAACAUGGGCGUAUUUCGGGGAGGCCCAGGAGCGAGAGCCCUACUCACCCCUUGAUGAGGCCCAGGGUGCACACGAAGACCCGGAUGCCCUGGUUCGCCCCCUGCUCUUCGCCCCUGAUGUGGAAGCAGGAGCCGCCACUUGGGCCCUGCAUCUCCGAGAAAGGCGAGCAGAAGGUGGCACAGAGGAAGAGCACUGGGCUCCCGUGCUGCGACUCAAGACAGGCUCCCACUUCGCAUUCGGCCCUGUGCCUGAGACCAGACGGUGGGAGGCCAGGGCUGCCCACUGGCCAGGACAGGGCUCACCCUGGGCGUUGCAGGCAAGACCAGAGAGGAGAGCCAGGCCCAGGAACAGCCUGGGCUCCAGCAGCGCUAGACACAGGACUUCCUUGGUCAGGAACCCCGGAAGGAGACGAGACUUCAGCGAGACUCUGGGGAGAAGCUGCCAGCAGUGAGGGGUCCUGAGGCCCACGCAGGUGGGCGGGAACAUUCAGGGAACAGUUCCCUACAAGCUUUGAGCACUUAACCGGAAGACUCCAGCGCUGGCUUCAUGGGUAUGUGCGGCUGCGUAGUGGCCUGUGUUUAAAGUAGGGUCCUAUGUUCAAAGUUCCAGUGUUGCCAUGUCCAAAUUCACAAGGUUCCAUCAAAGGGCCCCCCCUUCACACUGGGAUCCCCAAAGCCCGCAGCCAGUCCUGGAAGAGCCCCAUAUUGUGAGGACCCCUCCCAUCCCUGCUUCCUGCUUCAAUCUCCAGAUGCGUCAACUCAUGCCCCCACUGCCCCUCUGGCCUCGCCUAACAGGGUCAUGCUGGGGCCCAUUCCCUCUCUAACCUGCACUGCAUGGUCUGAGCCCCUCAGCCUGCCUGCUUAUACCCAGGUGCCACUUGGCCACAUCCUCCUCAUGUGAGAGCACCAUCCUUGGCAGGAAUUCUUGCAGGAAUCCAGGAACUUUCUAUCCAGGGUAUCCUGAAGCCCUGAGAGGUUGCCUGAUGGUGGGCAGCCCUGCCCUCCUGCCCAAAGCCUGGGUGAAACUCCUGAUGGAGGCUGUGAUGCUGGGGAAGGACAGGAAGGGAGGGUGAGUCACUUUGGGGAGCUACCAGCCUGCUAAACCCCUAAG